UAAACAAUGGCAGAACACCAGCAUAUGUGCCUGCGGCUCACAUGUCCAGUGGGGCUGCAGGGGGAGGUCGUGCAAACCAGAUAUAUGUCCUUCUGGUUGGAGCAGCCUGCGUCGGGGGUGGAGUAUACACAUACCGAACUGUCAAGGGAGACGGCCAAAGAUAUCAGGAACGUAUUGAAGAAAUCUCCUCCCGGCCAAA